rnacentral:rRNA from 1 species
CCUACGGGUGGCUGCAGUGAGGAAUAUUGGUCAAUGGACGAGAGUCUGAACCAGCCAAGUAGCGUGAAGGAUGACUGCCCUAUGGGUUGUAACCUUCUUUUAUAUGGGAAUAAAACGUUCCACGUGUGGGAUUUUGUAUGUACCAUAUGAAUGAGGAUCGGCUAACUCCGUGCCAGCAGCCGCAGUAAUACGGAGGAACCGAGCGUUAUCCGGAUUUAGUGGGAUUAAAGGGAGCGUAGGCGGAUUGUUAAGUCAGAUGUGAAAGGUUGCGGCUCAACCUUAAAGUUGCAGUUGAAACUGGCAGGCUUGAGUACAGUAGAGGUGGGCGGAAUUCGUGGUGUAGCGGUGAAAUGCUUAGAUAUCACGAAGAACUCCGAUUGCGAAGGCAGUUCACUGGACUGCAACUGACACUGAGGCCCGAAAGUGUGGGUAUCAAACAGGAUUAGAUACCCGGGUAGUC